GAGAAUGCCGGUGUGAGUAGCGAAAGACGGGUGAGAAUCCCGUCCACCGAUUGACUAAGGUUUCCAGAGGAAGGCUCGUCCGCUCUGGGUUAGUCGGGUCCUAAGCUGAGGCCGACAGGCGUAGGCGAUGGAUAACAGGUUGAUAUUCCUGUACCACCUAUAAUCGUUUUAAUCGAUGGGGGGACGCAGUAGGAUAGGCGAAGCGUGCGAUUGGAUUGCACGUCUAAGCAGUAAGGCUGAGUAUUAGGCAAAUCCGGUACUCGUUAAGGCUGAGCUGUGAUGGGGAGAAGACAUUGUGUCUUCGAGUCGUUGAUUUCACACUGCCGAGAAAAGCCUCUAGAUAGAAAAUAGGUGCCCGUACCGCAAACCGACACAGGUAGUCAAGAUGAGAAUUCUAAGGUGAGCGAGCGAACUCUCGUUAAGGAACUCGGCAAAAUGACCCCGUAACUUCGGGAGAAGGGGUGCUCUUUAGGGUUAACGCCCAGAAGAGCCGCAGUGAAUAGGCCCAAGCGACUGUUUAUCAAAAACACAGGUCUCUGCUAAACCGUAAGGUGAUGUAUAGGGGCUGACGCCUGCCCGGUGCUGGAAGGUUAAGAGGAGUGGUUAGCUUCUGCGAAGCUACGAAUCGAAGCCCCAGUAAACGGCGGCCGUAACUAUAACGGUCCUAAGGUAGCGAAAUUCCUUGUCGGGUAAGUUCCGACCCGCACGAAAGGCGUAACGAUUUGGGCACUGUCUCAACGAGAGACUCGGUGAAAUCAUAGUAC
rnacentral:rRNA from 1 species